AAUCAACGCUGGCGGCGUGCCUCAGACAUGCAAGUCGAACGCUGCUGUUCGCCUUCGGGUGGACAGCGGAGUGGCGCACGGGUGAGUAACACGUAGGUAAUCUACCUUUGGGUGGGGAAUAACAGCCGGAAACGGCUGCUAAUACCGCAUAAUGCAGCGGCAUCACAUGAUGACAGUUGUUAAAGCGGGGGAGUCGUAAGACCUCGCGCCUGAAGAGGAGCCUGCGGCAGAUUAGGUAGUUGGUGAGGUAUUGGCUCACCAAGCCUGCGAUCUGUAACCGGCCUGAGAGGGCGGUCGGUCACACUGACACUGACAUACGGGUCAGACUCCUACGGGAGGC
rnacentral:rRNA from 1 species